rnacentral:lncRNA from 1 species
ACUAAGUGUCUUGACACAGUAGAAAAUGUAAUAGUCUAUUUGUUAACCCACUGCAAUCAAAUAUAUUUAUAUAUUUAUUUCCCUUGUAAAAUCACACACAAAGUCAAUCCUAGCUACAAGGGAGAUUGCCCUUCAGUAAACCUCUUCCUCCAUUUAUUCUUUAUAAAAAAUAAUGCAGGGCUAGAAUUGAUGGUGAAACCUUUGUGAAAUUAGGACUAAAACAAAUGUUAGAAUAUUUAGCAUAACAAUUACAUAUGAUAUACAGGUCAUGGACUUAUAUUUUUAAUGGCACAAGUUGGUACACAAAACUUUAACUUUCCCCUCUUACAUGGAUGUUAGCUAUUAGCGCAAUAUUUGUUUUGAAAAAGUUCACGUCAAUGCUCUUUUACUCUGAUGUUUUAGACUAGCUGAAAACAAAGACACCACUUACACAUGUGAAACUGAACAUGGAGAUAUUUGUUUUCAUAUACUUUGCUCAUGUGAUGUUUGUUUUGCUUACAUGUCUUCCUGUAAACCUGAAUGGUGGCAUAGGGAAUUACUCUGCCAUUGUAUUGUCCUGAAUCCUUCCUGUGGUAGGAAGAGAGCAAGGGAUGAAGGAGAGACAACACACCCCUGUGAGAUAAGUCUCUGUUAAAGACAGCUUUACCUUACCCCUCAGGAAUGUUCUGUUUGAAGCAGACCCAGCUAAUCCGUGAGUCAUUAUGGAACAAUUUGUAGUAUAUGCCGGUCCACACUACCCUCAUUCCAUAUCACAGGAUGGAACAGACGUGUAGAUAUUUGUUUCUUUUAAAAGAUUAUUGCGCAGUCCCAAUUACACAGUUACAGCAGGCUUUUUAAUGGUCAAGCAGGCGCAAAUCGGGUUAAACUAAACCUAGAGCUGAAUCAUUCAUAAAGUGAACAAUCUCUGUAUGUUUGCCUGAAAAAAAUGUACUUGCAAAUGGUUUUCAUCAUGGGUGUGCAAGAAAUAUAGGAUGGAAUAUCCCCAAACCUGCAGUUUUCACUGUAUUAAUAUUUAAACUGAGCCAGUCACUGUGGAACUUGCUGCUGUUGGGAUCUAUUGCAAAUGAGAAAAUAGGCAUUUGAUUGAAUAUUGAGUCCAGCCUAACCAGAUAUUUUCAAACCUUCAAUACUUUUUCCAAGAUGCAGAUAUAUACAUCAGAGUAUUUAGUGAUGUUUCUGUUGGAAUUGAAUUUGAAAAUCUCUGACUGCCACACAUUCAUUUUAUUUAAUUGAAAACAAGUUUAUUUUUCCCUGGGUUGAACUGGAACUGAAAAGAUUUGACCCUUGGUAUUUGCUACCAAAAUCUUUUACAGGUAGUUUAAUGGGAACGUUGUGAUAGAGCCAAGCUUGUCUUUAACACUUCUUCCUGUGAUUUCAUAGAAUUAGUGCCAAUUGCAGAACUCUACUGAAUAGGAGCAAUUAGCAGCAGCUGAAGAUCUGGCCUGUAGUCAAAAAUAAAACCUAGGAUUUUUGUUGCGGUUCA